rnacentral:lncRNA from 1 species
GCCGUCUCCUGAGUCCAUGCCGUCGUCCAGUCAUAAGCCGUCGCAAAAAACCCUAAGUCGUGGCAAGAAACCCUAAGCGGAGCAGCACUCCAGUCACUGAGCAGCACUUCAGUCGCCGAGCAGCACUCUGGUCGCGUGAGCCAUCUCCUGCAAAUCAUUAUAUUGAUUAGUUAGAUUAGUUAAAUUCACAAAUCAUUAUAUUGCCAUAGUAUAUCAAAUUUAAUUUGUCCUGAUUAUUGUUGCUGGUCUCUUCUUAAUUAAGAAGAUGAAUUUGAUUUCUAAUUUGUCUCUGAGGGUUGUUACUGGUUUGUGCUUAAUUAGGAAGACAAGUUUGAUUAAAAUGAUUGUCUUUGAUUGUUGUUGCUAGUUUGUGCCUAAUUAAAAAGAUGAGUUUGAUUGAAAUUUUUCUGCAAAAUUUUUGUUGUUGUUGCUUUUACUGAAAUUUGUAUUCGGUGAGUGAUGAUAAAAAGUGGGUUACUAUAUGUUACAUGAUUCACUUAUAUUGUAUUCAAGGAGGAACUAAGGGCCUCAAUACAGCUUUAGCCUUGUCUAAUGCCAUCUCUAGCCUAUCAGGUUUGCUUUCGAUGCUUUUUACCUUUUUUUCAAUCUCUCAGAUCCAUUUAUAUUUGAGAAAAUUACAUAUAUUUUCAAAAAAUUUGUCUCUGAAAUUAAUAUGCCUUUAUAAUCCCAAAAUAUGCAGUGAUGGUAUUUGGCAAGUUGUGGAAAUUGGAACCGUUACCUGAAGAACGUAAGAGCAAAUGGCAAAGAGAAAUGGACUGGUUGCUGUCUCCUACAAACUAUAUGGUUGAGUUGGUUCCUGCAAAGCAAAAUGCUUCCAUUGGUGAAAUCUUUGAGGUAUUGUUUCAUUUGAUCUGGAAUGGAAAUGAUUUAACAUUUUAUAUGAAUCACACUGCAGUACAAUAAGAUAGUCACUGUGUUUGAAUAGAUAAUGACCCCGAAAGCUCGUUCUGAUGUACACAUGAAUCUUCCAGCACUUCAGAAAUUGGACUCUGCUUUUUGUAGGUCAAAAUCUUCAUUUUAUAAACAUCCUGUGAAAUCACUAUGUAGACUGUAUUGACAUCUUAAUAUUUUGAUUGACAGGAGAUACUAGAAUCCAUGGUGAAUACUGAGUUCUGGUAUGAAGAGGGAGGAAGCUGGGCACUGAACGAAAGAGGUUGAUUCAUCGGGGAAGAGUGGUACACCAAAUAUUCAAGGCUGUCAAAUCGAUAAAUGAUAAUAUUUUGCUUGAAAUUUCUGUGCCAACAAUUAUUAAAGAUGCACUUCUAAAGGUAAGACUUGGAACUCUCAAGACUUGGAAUUAUAUGUUUUUGUUAACCUCAACCACUAUAUUCCCAUUAGUGAUGAUUAAAGAUAACAGAAAAAUAGGAUGAUCUAUGGUUAGGUAUAAAGUAUGAACAUGAAUAGAGCAUUCCAUUAUAAGGAAUAGUAUUGGUUCUUAAUUCUUAAUCUGGUAACACAAGAAAAUUUGCAAGUUUUUUCAUUCUUGGAUCAAGAAAUAUGAUCAUAAUGUUAGAUAAACUUUCUGUGCACUGUAAUUCAAUUUUCAUUGAAUCAUCGACUAAAAUAAUCUCUGCAUAAUGUUAGAUAAAUUUGUUGCUGGAAACAAUACUUUUGGUGCUGUUGAUGAGUUAAAAUGCUAAUUUUUCAUUGUUAUGUUUAUUUUUGUAGAAAUUGCACCAACCGGAGAAGAUGAUGACGAGUCUGGUGUGGAUUCAGAUUUAGCAUGGUGGCUGUUUGGUUUUUAUUUGUUUAAAGUGACUGUUUCAGUUUAAAGUGUGUUUAUUUUUGUUGUUUUGUUAGAUAUUUUUAAUUGUAUUUGUUUUAUGUUUAAUUAAGUUGAAUUUGUAUUGAAUUAGGAUGUGAUAUACUCUUGUUAUUCUAGUUUAUUGAUGGUUUUAAACUUUAUUUUAUGGUAAUUUAAAUUCUGAUUAUUAGAUGUAAAAAACUGAAAAAACCGACCGAACUAAACCGUUGUUGGUUUGGUUCGGUUCGGUUCGGUUGUUCAAAUAGCAGCCAACCGAAUAGUUGGUAUCAUUGUAGAACCGAUCAGGUCGGUUCGGUUGGUUUUCGGUCCAAAACCGAACCAAACUGAACCGAUUACACCCCUAAUCUGUGGUAUUCAAAUUAACAAAUGGUGUUCCUCAAUAAACCAUUUGUUAUUUCCAGACGACUCGAUCCUAUGUAGCAGGGCUAAUGAAGAGAGUUGUAAUAAUAUCCUUCAUCUACUUGAGAGAUAUGAACGAAUGAGCGGUCAAAAGGUGAACCUGGAUAAAUCCACAAUCUUCUUUAGCAAUAACACGUCCAUGGAUUCUCGACUGGACUUGGCGGAUAGGCUAAACAUUCAGAACAUCGAGGCUCAGAAUAAAUAUUCAGGCCUUCUGUCAGUAGUACAGAGAUCAAAGAAGGUCACCUUCAGUGUGAUCAAAGAGAAAGUUAUACAUAAAGUACAUGGCUUGAAACACAGACUACUAACACCAGCAGGCAGGCAGAUUUUAAUAAAAGCAGUAGGUGAGGCUAUUCCCACAUACUCUUUAUCCUGUUUUUGGCUUCCGGACACUCUGUUAAAAGAGAUCUAUAGAAUUCUUCAGCCAUUUUGGUGGGGUCAAAAUGGGGCAGAAAAGAAGAUGUUGUGGAUAAGUUGGGAGACGAUGAUACGACUAAAAAGAGAAGGGGUUUGGGCUUUAAAGAUCUUUGAACUCAGAACCUAGCAUUACUAGCUAAACAGUGUUGAAAAGUCGUAACUCAACCAAAUACUUUACUAUCUAAAAUAUUAAAAGGCAAGUAUUUUAGGUAUGGUAAUAUAAUGAGUGCUAAGUUAAGGACGUUACCGUCAUGGGGUUGGUGGGACAUCCUGUAGGGAUGCAUUGUGCUUGAGAAAGGCCUGAUCUGGAGCAUUGGAAUUGGUUCAGUGGUAAGAGUUUUUCAUGAUCCAUGGUUGCCUUCACUAUACCUGUUUCGACCGCCUCCUCCCCCUGAGUCGGAAACUGACUUUCAGAGCCUAAGAAUCGUAUGGGUAAAGGACCUCAUCCUGCCAAAUGGGACAUGGCAUAGUGAAUUGAUAAACAAAAAAUUCUCAGAAAAUAUUAGUCAAAGAAUCCAAGCCAUUACAAUCUCAGAUGAAGCAGAUAAACUCAAAUGGCUUCACACUAAGAGCGAUAAUUUUGAAGUGAGCUCAGGUUACAAUAUAGCAUACCAGUUUUAACACCCCCUAAUUGAUCUUUGUCUAAGUCUACUACAGUAUCAUAAAACUUGGUGUACACUCUGAAAGUUGCCUCUGCUCCCAAAAGUCAAGAUAUUUAUCUGAAAAUGUCUCCAUAAAAAGUUUCCCGUCUUAGAUGUUAUUUUAUAUGCGCAUAUCAAGCGUCAAUCCGACCUACGCAACAAAUUUAGAGGAGAAGCCUUUUACUGUUAAUUCUCUCCGUCUUUGGACCUUCGACUUUCUAGCACCUUUGGAAGGAGAAAAUAAACGAGUAUAAGAGACAACAGAAUUGUUUAUAUAAGCUAACCCUGUUGGUGAUCUUAAGCUAGAAUGUGUGGAAGGCUAGGAAUCGGUUUGUCUUCGAGCAAGAAGAAACAAUAGCAGAACUCACGAUGAAUACCUUCCUGAAGUUGCUAGAAAAAUUAAAGGCUAACCCCUAAUUAAGUGUUAUUUUCUCCUUUUAGAUUUAGUUUCUCUCUCUUUUCU